rnacentral:rRNA from 1 species
CAAGUCGAGGGGCAGCAUGGUCUUAGCUUGCUAAGGCCGAUGGCGACCGGCGCACGGGUGAGUAACGCGUAUCCAACCUGCCUUACACUCUUGGACAGCCUUCUGAAAGGGAGAUUAAUACAAGAUGUUAUCAUGAGUAAGCAUUUUCACAUGAUUAAAGGUUUACCGGUGUAAGAUGGGGAUGCGUUCCAUUAGAUAGUAGGCGGGGUAACGGCCCACCUAGUCUUCGAUGGAUAGGGGUUCUGAGAGGAAGGUCCCCCACAUUGGAACUGAGACACGGUCCAAACUCCUACGGGAGGCAGCAGUGAGGAAUAUUGGUCAAUGGACGAGAGUCUGAACCAGCCAAGUAGCGUGAAGGAUGAAGGUUCUAUGGAUUGUAAACUUCUUUUAUACGGGAAUAAACGAAUCCACGUGUGGAUUUUUGCAUGUACCGUAUGAAUAAGGAUCGGCUAACUCCGUGCCAGCAGCCGCGGUAAUACGGAGGAUCCGAGCGUUAUCCG